rnacentral:misc_RNA from 1 species
CCUAGAGUUGUAGGCUUUGCCUGCCAACUCUUACCCAUGUCUUUUGAGUACCUUACGUUUCCUCGGUGGGUUCGCCCGCCGGCUGGACAAAACUUAAACCCUUUGUAGUUGCAAUCAGCGUCUGAAAAAACUUAAUAGUUA